UUUUUCCUCCUUUCUCUCCAUCUCUCUCUCUCUCUCUCUCUCUCUCUCUCUCUCUCUCUCUCUCUCUCUCUCUCUCUCUCUGUCGAGGUACUAUACGCUUGCCAUCAAACGAAACUCGGCUUUCUACUAUUUUCGAGCUUAAACGCUUAAACGAAUUAUCUGGCAGAGGAGAGUUAGCAGAUCUAAUUUGUAACAUGGUUACGGUGAAUUUUAUCACAGGUCAGUGCUCUCUUUUUCUAACACAUCUAUUUAACUAAACUCUCUAAUAGCUUUCAUACGCAUACAAGUGUAUUUGUUAUGUUCCUAAAGAUUGUAGAAUCAAGAAUAUACAAAACCAAGUCAAAUAAAUCAUUUAUCAAUUUCACCAAGUUUCUCAUUACUGAGGCUUUGCUUAGACCAUAGGAUCUUCUUUUAAUAUCGUUUAAAAGGUCGGUCGAUACUCAUCGUAUCUUCGUUUGACCUGACUCUUAAAACCCAGAAAGUUAAUAACAUCGAAGAAAAGAGAAAAGGAGUUACUGUUUCCAAUCACGAAUGAAUGUUCGUAAUGAGACGAAAUUCGAAAAUUAAAUUAGAAAUUCGUGUUCCGUUUGAAGUUUCUAGGACAGAGAACUUGUCAAAUAUAUUUUUCUGAAGAAGUUUAAUGACUUUUCGAACGUUCACAUCUAUUUUUUCUUUAUUCUUUCUCCUUUCCUUCCUAUUUUAAGAAAGACAAAGAUUGUCUAGUGACCAACGUUAUAAUCGUUAGUUACAUUGUAGAAUACUCGAAGCGAAAAUGGAAACAAUGUUUAAACAGAGAAGAGGUUCGCUUCGUCGGGGCAGUUCAGUUGGAAACACACAAGAUAGUGAAAAGGAUCGUCGGAGUGUAUUGUCGAAUCGAGUCUUGAACGUUCUCGCACAGCCGACAUUGAGUUGUCGAUAAAUUCGACUCUUGGAGAGAAAAAAAGAAAGAGAGAGAGAGAAAACCCAUGCCAAAAUUAGAUCAAGCUAUUUCACCUUCAACGAUCAUUCUUUUUUUAGAACUAACGUAAAACAUCUUCAUGUGUAUUGUAUCGUAAAAUUAUACGAUCAGAUAAUCUAAGAGGUAAACGAUAAGUUAGAAGCUUAUCGUUAUCCGAUAUUUAUACUUUCGACUCGAUAAAGGUAAAAGAAAUUCAACGUAAAAGGAUUAUUUUAACAUUUUGAAGUUUACAAUAGUUUUAAGCUGUUCGAGAGCGUUCAUUCUAGAUCUAUGUUUCAAUGGAAUAACUACGAUUCGAUCGGACGAGUUAAGCGCAGCUAACUACAAUUUUUAUAUCUCCUUUUGGGUGAAAUUGAUAACGUUCGAUAAGAGGACGUUAUCGGUAUUAGCGAAGAGAGGAAAAGGGAAAGAAGAGGAAGACAAGAAUUACAUUGAAGUUAUCGUCAUUGAGGAGAAUAUCGGUGACCUUGCGUUUGAUAGAAGAAAGGAAAUUUGUUUUUGUUGGAAAAACCAGUCAAUUGUGAGAUAAUUAAAAUGGCAGAAAAUUCAUCGUCCGAGUCGAAUGAGAAAAUGCCUGUGGAAGAAGAAGUCAAGGAGGAACUUGAAGCUGAAGGUGAAGAAGCCGCAGAGGAGUGUGAUGCAGAGGAGUCUGAAGAAGAGGAUGGCAACGAUAACAGCAAAAAACGUACAAAAAGAAAUAUUAUUACAGCACCGGUAUUUAAAAUAAAAGAUGAAAUUGAAUAUCGUUUAGAUACGAAUGGGAACUGGAGACCAGUCAAUCCUUAAUCAUAUAUUUUUAUAUUAAAUGCACAACCGAAAAGAGAUAAUAAAAUAAAUAAUAAAAUGCUCAGAAUACAAAGAUUACAUUA